AUUUUUAUGAUGAACAUUUUUACCGCCCCAGGCUGAUAGUUAUGAGUGAUUGGAUGUACUGAUAUU